rnacentral:rRNA from 1 species
UUCGCAAUGCCCGAAAGGGUGACGAAGCGACGCCGCGUGCGGGAAGAAGGCCUUCGGGUUGUAAACCGCUGUCGGGAGUUAAGAAAUGCAAGGAUGUUAAUAGCAUCUUUGUUUGACUAAGGCUCCGGAGGAAGCCACGGCUAACUCUGUGCCAGCAGCCGCGGUAAUACAGAGGCGGCAAGCGUUGUUCGGAGUUAUUGGGCGUAAAGAGCACGUAGGCGGCCUUGCAAGUCAGUUGUGAAAGCCUUCCGCUUAACGGAAGAACGGCAUCUGAUACUACAGGGCUUGAGUACGGGAGGGGAGAGUGGAACUUCUGGUGGAGCGGUGAAAUGCGUAGAUAUCAGAAGGAACGCCGGCGGCGAAAGCGACUCUCUGGUCCGAAACUGACGCUGAGUGUGCGAAAGCUAGGGGAGCAAACGGGAUUAGAUACCCCGGUAGUCCUAGCCGUAAACGAUGGGCACUAAGUAGAGGGGUUUU